rnacentral:rRNA from 1 species
GGAACGCCUCGCUUGCCCACGACCUCGGGUCGCCCCUCUCUGUCUCCCUCAAUGGCGAUCCACAGAUCUCUGCCCCUCUCUCUCUUCCCUCUUCCCUCUGACCUCAUACCCUGCCGGAGUUUCCUCGCCGGUGGAGGAGAUCGCCGGCCGCCGGAACGCAGAAGACGCGGGCGCCGCGUCCUCGUUCCUUGCGCCGGCCGUGUCGAGCCGGCGGAGGCCGGGGAGGCCACGCUGCUGCAGCCCUUGGUGGCAGUCCGGAAAGCGUCGUGCCGCCUCGCUUGACGGAGCAGCCGCUCCCAGCAUCGGCUGUUGGCCGCGCUUGAGCAUGCUUAUCGAUCUUGUAGCAUGCUGGGAUCUUGUGUUGUGUUGGGUGGCUAUUGUUGAUCUUGUAGCAUGAGUCCGACAUUAUCUUCUCUGGUUCUCCGCGAUUUGUUUUUGAUGAAGCGUGCUCAGUUCUUCAGUUCGUGAAUUGUUGAUGCUCACACGCCUUUGUUGCAUGGAUGGAUG